CUCUUUGCCUUCUUAGCAAAUAUCUAAAGAACAGUUUCAUGAACUUGAUAGAAUUCUAUUCCUGCGUGUAGUGAUUUGUAAGGUUGAAUGUUCUUAGCUUCACCUGGAAAGCUUUCAAAAAAUACCAGUGGCUGAUUGUACGUGACACCAUUUUCAUCAGAAUCUCUGGAAGCUGAGCCAGGACAUGGGCAUUUUUGAAGAUUUUCAUGGUGAUUCUACAAUAUGGCCAGGUUUCAAAACUUGUGCUAUGUAUUGACAUAAAAUGCAUAAGUCCUAGUUUUCCACAUUUCUUUCUCAACUGUAGUAAAAAAUUGUAAAGAUUUUCUAUCUUCUUGGAAAAGCAAACUGGUGGUAUCUUUGUGUAUUUCCACAUGGGCUUCUCAGCCCACCACUUCCCCUAAUUGAUAUGCUUAGAGGGUGUGUUAGAUCUGUCUGCAUCUGUUUCCCCAGCUAAGAAACGUGGGGUAGAACUAGCAACAUGGAAGGCAGUGGGGAUUUUUAAAAAUCGAAGUUGAUACCACUUGGUCUUAAAAUAUUUUCUCUCUUCUUCCCAACAAUUUAAAGGACUUGUCAUUCAGAGAACUCUGCCUGACUGCCCCUAGUGUCUGUAAUCACUUUCAUUAGAGGUGGGGCUUAGGUUUGUAUCUGUGCAAUGACCACUUAUUUGAUAUCUGUUUCUGCAGCAACAUCCUGGUACUGAAUUCCUUCCAACCAUUGUUACCUUUAUUUGCAAUUGAGUUAGUUGAUGAAUGCCUAGGCUCUCCCGGUUGGCUCAUGCCUUUAAGCCCAACUCCGUGAGCUCCAGUAGAGAGGAGAUAAGAAAAAACUAUUUAUGGUCAUCAGGGAAGAGGAAGAAAUCCCUAGCUGGUCACCAAGAGCUGAAGUAAAGUCUUCCCAGAACAGAGUCUGUGAAGAUACGGCAGACGUGUUUGAGUUUCAGAUGAUCAGCAGUGCAGGCCCCGACCGAGCGAUUUGCCACUGUCUUUGCGUCUACGCCUAUCUUCACCUCAGACCAGUUCUCCCUCUACAUCAAGUCACUGAAUAGGAAUCAAUCUGCACAGAAAACACGAAAGUGAGAAUGGAGAAGAAGCUAUUUCACCCAUGAAAUGGGCCAGUGAGAUUCCUCACCUCCAGUCCUGGAAGAUGCCUGGAAACCGGUGCCCUUUGUCAGCCUCGUGAAUUCAUAAUCACUUGUAAGUGCUUCAUUUCCCCCCAACCCCCCACCCUCAUUCUUUCUUUCUCCUGAGUGGCAUUUACUGGUUGUUUGGGAACAGACAUUUAUAGACAAUGAGCUACAGUUGGGUUGUCUUCAGAAGAGUCACUGAAGAAUCUAGAACACCAAGCACCGAGUCACCACUUAUCUUAUACAUUUGAUUAAAUAUGCUUGUCUGUUUUCAAUGACUGUGCUGUAUUUUUGACACAAAAAUGAGGACCAGAGAGUCAAUAUUUCUGCAGCGUUUAUCUGGCAUUACUGUGUUCCAAUGGCAAAAGCUGAUUGAUAGCAUUCUUAAUGAGCACGUUGGGAGGCUGAGAAAAAGUAUCUAAAAGGGACUGCAGGGGCGCCUGGGUGGCUCGGUUGGUUAAGUUUCCGACUUCAGGCCAUGAUCUCACAGUUUGUGGGUUCAAGCCUCAUGUCUUUGCUGUCAGCACAGAGCCCUGAUCCUGCUUUGGACUCUGUGUCUCCCUGUCUCUCUGCUCUUCCCCCUCUUGCGCUCUGUUUCUCUCUCAAAAAUAAAUAAAACAUUAAAAAAACAUUAAAAGGGACUGCAGUGCAUUGCUAUAGAUUGAACUAAACCCUGCCAUGUUCAACAGGCCUGUAGAUGAAAAUUUAACAAACUCCAUCUCCUACAUCAGGCUUGGGUAGAUGGUUGAGCCUGAGUGAUAGUAUCUUCUGUAUUAGAAGGCCUCUCAUGCACUGAGUGGUGUUUUUAAUUAAAUCCAGUAGGCUGAGAAAAGUGGUUUGGCAGUUUCAAUUGAUUUAUUGUGUUUGUGACAUCUGGGCCUGAUUUAUUGUAUUGACUUGCAGAAUUGUUUUUGGAAGCUCAUCCUACAUAUUUUCAUUUUGGUUUUGGGGACUCACAGGCUAUAAAUAAGUAGCAUUUUCACUCUGUGGUGAUUUUAGUUUUCUCUGUGUUUUUCUUAUUUUGUUAAGAUUGGAAACUUUUGAAUUCAUCUUGUUAAUGUGAUUGUUUGCAAGCAUGAGAUUUUGUGGUUUAUGUGCAUGAAGAGGGCUGAUUUAAAAGUAGUACUGGGUUGGAGUUCAUUAUCAGCAUUUCGCCUACAUUAGUGGGGAGAGCGAGUGAGAGAGACGGGUGAUCUUUUCAAAUUUAGUCUAUACGUUGACAAACUAUUUGCUCCAUGUUAUGGCUUUGUAAACUUUAAAGUUUGGGUUUUAGAUAUAAGUGUGAACACCAUGUCAUAGAAAGUUCCUUUCCAGUGAUCGAAACAUAGCACAUUCAUCUGGGUGUUACAAACAAGUGUGACCCAACCCAAAUUUUACUGUAGGCAAAUCAGCUUUAGAAAGUGUCCGCUCCCAGACUCCACAGUGCAUGUGUGAGAAGGGAGGGGAGAUAAGAGUCAAGUUGCCAGGAGGGUAGGGAAGCAAGCAGGUCUCAAUCAGCCUAAAUAUUUUCCGAGUCUGUGAAUGAGUGGUUGCACAUCCCAGCUACAGACACUGUAAUGAUGUGUUGGGCCCCCGGGGGUAUGUCUCUCUAUUCCCUACAGCUGGGGCCACUUACUCCUACCUGAAUCCCCAGCCAGGGUUCUGGAACAAAUCAGGGAAAAUUGAAGGAGUCUAGGUAAGGCAAAUCAACUUCAGGUCAGCCUGUGGCUUAGCUCACUUGAACCUUCUGUCUCAGUAUUAGAAGCUGGAGUCUGUCGAUGUGCCUUGUAGUCAGCCUCUUAGUGGUAUUUAAUCCACUUGGCACGGUUUCCCAUUUUUUAUUCCUGCGCUCUUAUCUCUAUGUCAGUAACCUAUCUUGUUAGUCAGUAGCCAUUCUUUCCGGAAUGCCCAGAGUACUGCUGUGAGCCCAAGUUUGGGACCUACCUGACACUCACCACUUAAUGCCUUUGGCAGACUCUACCCAGGACCUCCUACUGUCCAGAUGUUUCGCCGUGGGCCAUAGCUGGGUCCACCAACUCUGUGCUGUCUCCCUGUUAAUCUAGGUUUACUCUUGUAUAGGUGAUUGUACAUCUUAAUACACAGCAUGAUCCAUAGUCUUUCCUUGAAAACCCUAAUUUUUUUCCUUAUUUUCUUUUGUGGGUUUCUCAGUUAAAAUAGAGCAAGAUUGCUCACCACUAAAGCCAAAUGGGGUUCAUUUGAAAACUUUUAAUUUAUUCUCCAUGGUACCUGAUUGCUGCAGAUAGCUCAUAAAUUUAUUUGGUUUUUCUGGAGGUGGUUCAGUGGAAUUCCCCAAACUGGAUGAGAUGGAGUAUGUAAAAGCAAACUCAUUUAUGGGAGGCGCUUACUAAAUAUCUACCAACAGACAGAGAUUUUAGCCCAGCGUAAAACCUGGGAAAACCUCAUUCAUAUCAAACUCAAAGAGGAAAUAAUGCCAGGUGAUUUGUUUACACAACUUUACUGAGAUAUACUCUACAUACCGUUAAAUUCACCAUUUAAAUUAUAUAAUACAUUGUAUAAUGAUGUAUAGUAAAGUUUUAAAAAAUUGUUUAGACUUCAGCAGAUUUCAAGUUCAGAACAAUAUCAUUACUCCAAAAUAGCCUGGUCUCAGAGAGGUGGUCAAGGUUUUAUAUGUGGAUCAUCUUAAACUAAGUUAAUCAUAGAAUGAUAUUCUGUACAUAAUAUAGGAAGAAUGUACACAAAAGUUAUACAUUUAAAAACAGCACAUUGAAGUGCUCACAUGGGUGCUGAAUUCAGAUAAUGUGGUUGACUUAAUCCAGGAAUUAGAUUGCAGUGUAGCCUGCCCUUCAUGCAGAAAAAAUUCUGAGACUUAAAAAUGACUGUUCUGGAGAAGAGUAAGUCUAUGUGUGCACAAAAGUAUGUCACAUGUUAGAAAGAACUGUGGCUUCUGUGCUAAAUCCAGAUGAGGAGACACUUUCUCAUUAAUAAACAUCAAUCUGAUUUACCUGUGCUGUGGACUCCCUGCACAUACCUGCAAGGUCUUGUACCUGCAGGGUAAACACCAAAAUUUCUGAAGCCACGUUUCCUAAUGGACCGCAAAGAGCCAGCCUUGAAAGUAUAGCAUAAAGAGAAGCUAGAAAGAAUCUUCUCAGUAGGAAGUGUGCAGCUCUACACUGUCAGAGAUAAUGAUCCUCAUGGUGUUUUUCUCUUGUGACCCUACCCAGUAGGCAAGGGACUAUACUAGCAAGAUACCGAGAAUUUAAAAAUUUGGUUCAUAGUUUACGUCUGGGUUUAGUAAAGCAUCUGUUCUGAGAAACUAAAGAAUUCAUCUGAAUUAUUCAAAAUAAAAGGCUGAGUCUUGGCUUUUACUAUCACUAAAACAUGAUACCUAAGAAAUAGCAGUGAUCUGGAGGAAGAGGUUUCCUUGGCAGGCUUCCCAAUCUUGUUUACAAGAGUUUUUCAAGCAAUUUUAUUUUUUAUGAACAAGACUAUUAGACCAGGAGGGGAAAUGCAUAAUUAGGUGUUGAACCUUGAAGCGUUUAUAAUCUAGUUGAAGAAGUAAAGUGUGCUUCCCCUGGACAAAUUAUUAGAUAAUUUGUCCUACAAUAAGAGUAGGAAGGGCCUUCUUUUAAAGGCCCUUAUUGUAGGAAGGGCCUUCUUUUAAAUAACUGUGGCAGUGAUUGGAUUUAAACAAUAUUUACUAAUAUGGACACUCUGUGAUAUCUGAUAAUUGUGGUCAGGACAAAAGCUACCUAGAUUCACUGCUCCCCGGUUUCAUUUCCAUGUCUUCAUCUUCCACCCAAAUCCCCCCGUUACCUCUAGGGAAAGAGAAAGUUUCCUGUUAUUGAGUUGAUCAGGUAUGUAGUCAGCUCUUAUUUUUACCGGAUUAAUGGCUUUGAAAAGAAGAAACAAAGAUGCUCAACAAGGGUGACAACUAAAUGCCCCUGAAUCAACUGUUCAUUUUUUCUACAAAAUGUUCAUCUUCUUAUGCAGACAUAUAUAUUUUCUCAGGGAAAGACCAUGAUGUUGUAGUCUUGGUAAAAUCCUGGCACCUUGUGAUUCAAAUGUAUGCUUAUCUCUGUAGCUCUUCAAGACAUAUUAGCACCUUUUCCCCCUCCCUACUUUCACUUUUUAUAAAUCAUGGGUUGAGUAUGUGCUGACACACUAGCACAUUGUUAUUACAGAAAUCGGUUUUCCUCUUAUCUCAUUCAGCCACUAAAGCAUUUGUUUUAAAAGUGACAAUUGAUAUCUAUAAGCCUAUGGAUGCAAGGGUCAUUUAUUAUAGGGCCCAUGAUUUAUCUACAGCAUUGGGUCUUAUGGACCAUGGCAUUUUGCAAAAUUCGACUGAUUGGAUUCUGUAUAACAUCAAAUUUUAUCUCCGUAGGAGUAAAAGUCUAGCUCUCUUAGGUGGAUAUCUAACUAAACACUCACUAAUGAUGGAUGUAACAGGACAAGAGUCUAUUUUAUCUUGAGUUUUGUUUCCACAAACCGUCUCAAACUCAGCAGGCAACUAUUUGGGGGAGUAUAGUCUCCCAGUGAAAGUCUUUGAUUCACUUUCUGCUUUGAUGAAGUGUUCUUGGAGCCACCUCCUCAACACAAUUGUUUCAUGGUUUUUUGCCUUCAGUUGAAAUGCAAAAUACUUUCUAAUGGUUAUCAGUGAUGAAAGAAUUUAUCAAUACAAGCUUAUUUCUAUCCAUUUCUUCUAAUUCCAAUUUAAUAAGUUUGUCUUACAGGGAAAAAUUAGGUAUCAGGACAUUUGGGAAGGAACUUAAACUCAGAAGUGGUUCAAAAUGUAUUUACAAUUUGGGUGUUAUAAAAACUGUCCCCUUAUUUUAGCAAUAACUUGAGAUUGUUGAGUUUUCUUUUUUCUUUUUUUGAAAUUAUUGACUCACAGAGUAUGAGAAAAUGCAUUAAAGAACCUAUCAAGAAAUGAAUGUUGCAAAGCUUUUUUUUUUUUUGAUGGGAGGGAGUAUAUCUUUUUAGCUAAUUGACAGUAUUAAUGAUAUUACUAUGGAGAUCAUUGUCCCUAAAGCCUUGUUCCUAAAAAUAAAAUGUAACUGACUUGGCUUAUGACCAGAGUCAUUUCAGGCUAGUUUUCAAUGAAUUUACCACCUAAAGUUCUUGAAUAACACCUGAUUAAAUAGGUUAGGAAGUAACUGGUUGGGAGUAGGACUUGCAAGUUGCAGGGAGGAGAAAGAUCCUUCAGAGAGAUAAUACUCAUUGAUCUUGACAUCCUUGAGAUGUCUGGUCUUCUAACCCUUCCAACGCAGUUCUUCCAGGCCAUCACUUUCUUUCUAGGUUCCGUGUUUUCCCUACAAAUUGCUACUGUACCCACUUUGUCAUUCCUGUAGCUAAAAUACCUCAUUCUACUUACUUUCUGACUCCUUUUUCCAAGUGACUGAAGAAGGUCAUCCCAAGAAGACUGGGUUCCCCUUGACUGGGCCUUCUGAGUGUCUCUACUGGUAAUUGAAAGCUUUUAUUCAUGCAGCUUGGCUUGUCCCUUCCUCAUUCCAUUCUUGUGUCUUCUCUGCAGCCAUCUGCCAGGUAGGUUUCCUAGACAUGUGGCAAGGACUGGAAUCCAGUACCUCCUGAGAUCACUCUUUCUGUUCAUGUACAGAUCCUAUUGCUAGCAAGAGCUUCCUUGGGAUGCAUUUUAGUCUGUGUCCUGUAGCUUCUGCCAGUAGGUCCUACUUUAGCACUUAGGUGAUUAUGGAGAAUUUGAGACUUUAACCCAAAUAUCAGCUCAUUAUUGGGAAUACUUAUUGAAAAUCCCUGUCCUCCCUAAUUAC